UAAACGACUCUCGGCAACGGAUAUCUCGCGUCUCGCAUCGAUGAAGAACGUAGCGAAAUGCGAUACUUGGUGUGAAUUGCAGAAUCCCGUGAACCAUCGAGUCUUGAACGCAAGUUGCGCCCAAAGCCAUUAGGCCGAGGGCACGUCUGCCUGGGCGUCACGUA
rnacentral:rRNA from 1 species